rnacentral:tRNA from 1 species
CCGUAGCUCAGCGGUAGAGCACUCGGCUCAUAACCGAUAGCGCGCAGGUUCGAAUCCUGCCGGGCC